rnacentral:lncRNA from 1 species
CCUUAUUUCAUACUGGGAGUGUUUUUUAAAAAUAUCUAAUCAAAAUAUGAAAAGGCAAUUAAAAGGGAAUAAAAGAUGACAGCACAGAAACAUAAGCAACAUGGAAAUCAGGAUAGAAUGUCAAAAAGUAUGCUUAAAAAAAAAAGAAAGAAAAAGAAAGAUUCCACACAGCAGAAAUCCUCAGCCUAUUUGACAGAACUUAGUGCUGGCUGAUCUCCUGAGGCAGAAGAACCCUUUGCAAAUCUCCAUUUGAGAUUUGCAUCUGCUUUAACCUCUACGCAAGUGUCCAACUAGUGUCUUCCAGAGCACACGUCAAUCAAGAAUUCCCUUUUUUAUCUGAGUAGUCUACAAAUCCAAGGGCAUUCAUAAUCACCAACGGUCUAUGAGGAGUGUGAGCCUCACAUUCCAUUUCAAAGUCGACCCUGACAUUUGCAGCUUAUGGCACUCGUGGGAAAGUGUAUGACUGAUUUGCAUUAGCACUGACUCCACGCCCUGGGAAGAGGGAACUGAUGAGCAGAAACUGCUCCAUACAACUGUCUCUGCAUGAGCGGAGAGCUGUCAUGUGUGGGGAAGGCGAGAUCCACCCCCAGCACCUCUAAGGUUCAGAAGCGGGACAGAAGCAGAAGUUACAGGAAGACAGAAUUUACUUUGUGUGAGGCAGUGCUCUGUAGCCCUGAGGCUACUCCAAGAAGGCCUUUCCUGGGUCUGGAGAGACUGGGUUCAGGGGAAGAAUUCCAGCCCAGGCAGCCUGACCCUCUGCUCGGCUUUGGCAGAACAGACACUGCGAUCGUAAGCUUUCAUCCAACUCCUUCCACCUGUUGUCAUCUUGCUUUGAGCCUCUCCAUUGCUCAGUGGAUGUUGACUGAACCAACCAUGGAUAGUGAAUUAUCAUAGCAUUUACUAUUGAAAAAAAUCCCUAUAUAAGUGGACCUGCUGCGUUCAGACCAUGUUGUCCAAGGUUGAAUGGUUCUUGAUCAAACUCCUCCCAACUCAUUUUCCUGUCUGCUGAUGUACUGCCUUUGGUGCAUUUUCUUCACUGACACAGGAGUGAAUUUUGGUCAAAUUGGGUGAGUGCUCUUAACGCUCACAUUGUUCAACGUCAACUGCACUGCGCAUGUAGGAAAGAAGCUGAGGUCCCAAACACUUACUUGCCUUCAUGUAUCCUACCUGAUUAAAAACUGCUGCCUUCUGGAGCUCCUGUCGUGGCGCAGUGGUUAACGAAUCCGACUAGGAACCAUGAGGUUGUGGGUUCGAUCCCUGGCCUUGCUCAGUGGGUUAAGGAUCGGCAUUGCCAUGAGCUGUGGUGUAGGCUGCAGACUCGGCUCGGAUCCUACGUUGCUGUGGCUCUGGCGUAGGCCGGUGGCAACGGCUCCAAUUAGACCCCCUAGCCUGGGAACCUCCAUAUGCCACAGGAGCAGCCCUAGAAAAGGCAAAGAGACCAAAAAAAAAAUAGAUAAAAUAAAAUAAAAAAAUGAAAACUGCUGCCUUCCA